rnacentral:rRNA from 1 species
UUACACAGCAACAUGUAGCUGACCUUGGCUGAUCUCAGAAAGCUAAGCAGUGCUGGAUCUCAUUAGUACCUGAAUGGGCCACCACCAGGAAAUCCCAGGGCUAUGCAGA